GCGAGUGUAGCUCAGUUGGUAGAGUGUUUGCCUAGCAUGCACAAAUCCUUGGGUUCGAUUCCCAGCCCUGUA
rnacentral:tRNA from 1 species